rnacentral:rRNA from 1 species
AUUGAACGCUGGCGGCAGGCCUAACACAUGCAAGUCGAACGCGUCGCGGACGGGUGAGAAAUGUCUGGGAAACUCCCCUAUGGAGGGGGAAAACUACUGGAAACGGUCGCUAAUACCGCAUACCAUUGGAUGUGCCCAGAUGGGAUUAGCUAGUAGGUGGGGUAACGGCUCACCUAGGCAACGAUCCCUAGCUGGUCUGAGAGGAUGACCAGCCACACUGGAACUGAGACACGGUCCAGACUCCUACGGGAGGCAGCAGUGGGGAAUAUUGCACAAUGGGCGCAAGCCUGAUGCAGCAAUGCCGCGUGUAUGAAGAAGGCCUUCGGGUUGUAAAGUACUGUCAGCGGGGAGGCGUUACUCGCAGAAGAAGCACCGGCUAACUCCGUGCCAGCAGCCGCGGUAAUUC